CCUGUCUGAUUGAGAGAUCUUUAUGUUUCAGCUGCAGACGCUGAAAAACCAGCUGAAGUUCCUGCACCUGAGGAAACACCUGAGGAAACACCUGAGGAAACACCUGAAGAAACACCUGAGGAAACACCUGAGGAACCAGCGGAGGAGGCAACAGCUCCUGCAGAGCCUGAAGCUGAAGACACAAACCCUGACACAGACGCCGCGACAGAAGAUGCUGAAGAAACACCAGCAGGUGAUCUGAUCUAAACACAAAGACAUUACACUCCACAAACAACACUGAGAAUAACGAUUCAGAACAGCCACAGAAACCUGAGAGAUCAGGAGUUUCUAUCAGAUAAUGUGUCCCAGUUAUUCUCAGCCCUGAAAUAUUUCAUAGCCAGAAGCGGCUCUUUCUGAACGCAAUCUUCAAUGAAAUGAUUUCAAAAAUCCUUCAAAUAUCCUGUGACCAUGAAGUCCUGGAAAAGUCAUAGAAAUGCAUCUGGGAAGCCUGUAAUAAUCGUGUGGUUUUGACUAUGACGUAUUUUCCUCUCUGUACCGUUUCGCUGAAAAAGCAGACGCAGCAGAUCAGACAUACUGGUCUGGCAACUAAAUGAGUUUAAACACUAAAAUUACUAACUGGAAAUAAAAACUGAAGUCACUAACUGGAAAUAAAAUAACUAAAAGU